AGCUUGCUUUUUGACGGAUGGUAUAUGGUGGAUGUUGUCAUUGUGUAUCGGGAUUUCACCUCUGUCAAAAAUUCCCCCAGUAUGUGCUUAGUGUGCAGCGCCUUUAAACGAUGGUUAUCAAAUGCAACACUAAAAAACAAUGCAUGACAAUAAAAAAUAUUUAGCACCUAGACAUAUUUUAAGUUCUAUUUUAAAUAUCAAAUCGUUAAAGACCAAAAAAAUUAAAAAAUAAUUAAUCGGAAACAAUACAGAAUGGAGAGUGCUGAAACUGGUGGUGAUUGCUGUGGAUUGCGGAGAUGGAAAAUUUUGUCAUAAACAUUUGACAGGACAUAUCCACUUAUAAGUACAGUUUUAUUAUAACCAAUUAAAUU